rnacentral:rRNA from 1 species
AUUGAACGCUGGCGGCAGGCCUAACACAUGCAAGUCGAGCGAGCGGCGGACGGGGGAGUAAUGUCUGGGAAACUGCCUGAUGGAGGGGGAUAACUACUGGAAACGGUAGCUAAUACCGCAUACCAUCAGAUGUGCCCAGCUGGGAUUAGCUGGGAGGUGGGGUAACGGCUCACCUAGGCGACGAUCCCUAGCUGGUCUGCGAGGAUGACCAGCCACACUGGAACUGAGACACGGCCCAGACUCCUACAGGAGGCAGCAGUGGGGAAUAUUGCACAAUGGGCGCAAGCCUGAGGCAGCCAUGCCGCGUGUGUGAAGAAGGCCUUCGGGUGGUAAAGCACUUUCAGCGGGGAGGCGUUACCCGCAGAAGAAGCACCGGCUAACUCCGUGCCAGCAGCCGCGGUAAUAC